rnacentral:rRNA from 1 species
UACGUAGGGUGCGAGCGUUGUCCGGAAUUAUUGGGCGUAAAGGGCUCGUAGGCGGUUUGUCGCGUCGGGAGUGAAAACACCGGGCUUAACUCGGUGCUUGCUUUCGAUACGGGCAGACUAGAGGCAUGCAGGGGAGAACGGAAUUCCUGGUGUAGCGGUGAAAUGCGCAGAUAUCAGGAGGAACACCGGUGGCGAAGGCGGUUCUCUACACAUAUAUUGACUCUGAGGCACGAAAGCGUGGGGAUCAAACAGG